GGGAUCUUAAAGCAAUAGAGGCCUGGUUCACAAAAUUUGUGCAUGGAUAGGAUCCCUAGGCCUUGACAGUGAUCAGAGCCAAUAUGUGGAGCAACUGGUAGAGUGACCAGGGACCCUCUGCUGGCACCUGCCCUUGGUUGGCCUG